rnacentral:sRNA from 1 species
AUUCUUUUUGAACCAUUUUAAAACUCUUGUGAACCUUUACAAAAGGUUUUAAAAA